rnacentral:tRNA from 1 species
GGGAGGGUGGCCGAGCGGACGAAGGCGGCGGUCUUGAAAACCGCUAGCGGGGCGACCCGCUCCUGGGUUCGAAUCCCAGCCCUCCCGCCG